rnacentral:rRNA from 1 species
GUGCAGCAGGCGCGAAAACUUUACAAUGUGCGAAAGCACGAUAAGGGAACUCUGGAGUGCCUCCUAAGGAGGCUGUUCAGGUGUCUAAAAAGCACCUGGAGUAAGGGCUGGGUAGGACCGGUGCCAGCCGCCGCGGUAACACCGGCAGCCCAGGUGGUAGCCACUUUUAUUGGGUCUAAAGCGUCCGUAGCCGGUUGAGUAAGUUCCUUGGGAAAUUUGGCUGCUCAACAGUCAAGCUUCCAGGGAAUACUGCUCGACUUGGGGACUGGGAGAGGUCAGAGGUACUCCAGGGGUAGGGUGAAAUCCAUUAAUCCCUGGGGGACCACCGGUAGCGAAGGCGUCUGACCAGACCAGGUCCAACGGUGAGGGACGAAGGCUAGGGUCGCGAGCCGGAUUAGAUACCCC